UACGUAGGGGGCUAGCGUUGUCCGGAAUCAUUGGGCGUAAAGCGCGCGUAGGCGGCCCGUUAAGCCGGAUGUGAAAACCCAGGGCUCAACCCUGGGCCUGCAUCCGAUACUGGCGGGCUCGAGGCAGGUAGGGGAGAGCGGAAUUCCCGGUGUAGCGGUGAAAUGCGCAGAUAUCGGGAGGAACACCGGUGGCGAAGGCGGCUCUCUGGGCCUGUCCUGACGCUCAGGCGCGAAAGCUAGGGGAGCAAACAGG
rnacentral:rRNA from 1 species